GCCAGUGGGGAGUGAGGGCAAUUUCCUGAUCACCCUCCUGAGAGUGGCAGGCACAGAUCAGGGUGGGGCUCUAUCACUGCUCCCCCCUUCAUGCUUGGGGUAGGAAGCCCUCCCUUUUUCUCCCUAGAACGUAACCUGGGAACUUUUAUUUCCUGCAUAAUUGCUCUUUGCCUCCCCCAAGAAAAGAUGCAAGCUCAGUGGAAGCAUCCCAAAUAUUGAAUUCAAGACGUGGGCCACCAGUUGGCCCUGACCAGUUUGUUAUAUGGGAGAGUUUCAGUUUCUUGAUAAAAGUCCCUCUACAGAUGUGAAAAGGAUUGGAAGGGAAGGGAAAUAAAGGAAGGACCAAAUCCUCUCUCAGCAGAAGACCACAGCUAAAUUUCUACUCAGCCACAGAAGGCAUCAACAAAUCCCACAUGUCUCCACAAAUCCAGAAGAUGAAAUGCUUGUGCUGCUGUAGGAUGCUCCUCUGGAUGGCAGUUCUCUGGACAGUCAGCCUAAUUGGGAGCUUGCAUGAAUAGUUAAUGGCAGAGGAUGGAUAGCAGAGAAGGGCAAGUCAAGAUCUGUCACGCUGGGAUCACUGGCUGUCAGACAGGCAAGGCAGCGGCUCAACCGCCACCGCUCCCCAUGUACGCUGGCUGUGUCUGCCAGGAUGGGGGAGCACGUUGGUGCCCUAAGGCAAAAUUCUACCCGGCUGAUGGAAACACAGAUGGGUAGCUUGUGCUUUCUCUAAGACAUUUUCAUGUCAUUAGUGUUAAUGAGGCAGUACCCAGCACACCGUGCACGCCUUCACUCAGUCCUGCCCUUUGUGCCUCCUUGGAACAUGCCGUUUCAGGCUACUGACCCCGCAUGUGCUCUGAAGCUCUAUCUCCCCAUCCUUAACCCUGAACAGACCCAGCUCUUCAACAUGGCUCUCACACAAGCAGCUGGCCUACUAAGAGGCUAAUGCAAAAUGCUAACAUUUUUGUUUCAGGAAGAAACAAAAUACAUACAGAAAACAAAAAACAAGGGGCAGAUUCUGGUUGAGCACUACUGUUGACCAGAGAUGUGGAAUCUAAUCAAAGUGUCUCCAGAGUGAGAAAGAAAGGUAAAACUGGCACAAGGACCUGCAAGCAGUUUGGGAAGAUGCUGUCAAAGAACUACAUAGUUUGCAGCGUGAACACUGUCUCAUGAAUGUCUUUGUGGCGCUUUCAGCAGUGACAUAAACCUACUGCAUCAAGCUGAGAUAACGACAAAAUAAUCACACUUCUUGGUAUAGAAAAAAAACACUCAGGUCUUUGCAGGCCACUAUAACAUUGUUUAGUGCUUGGAUGUUGGGUAAAAACAAUAGGCUCUUUCUGUUUUUGUGAUUAAAGGCAUGUUUAAUCUCUAGCUUAUAUGAGGUUUGGUGUUUGUGGACCUUUAUUUGAUUGGAACGAGAAGAAUAAUGGGAGUGUUGUAAAAUUAUUUCAGUGAUCUUUUUAUUGUUGUAUUUUAAAAAUAUGUAUUGUAAGUUCUGUCCUUUAUCCAGAAUACUUACAUCGUUUAGGCAUAUUCUUGUUCUUAAGAAAUAUAUUAUACUUGUUUAAAGGGACUUUAGGAUUGAUUAACCCAAGUUAAUUUUAUUAAAUGGAGCUGUGAUUUGCUGUGUGUAUUGCUAAAGGAUGUGAUUGCGAAGAUGAUAGUUAAACAACUGGAAGUUGAUUGCACAUGGAAGUCCAUGGAGACUGCAUUCUAACAUGGAUCUGUGCAGUUUUUAAAGAUCCCAAUGAAGUAUUUUGAAUGCUGAUAAAGCAGAAGAUACGAAGAUUUAAACAAGUAAAUCUUAAUAAUUAAGUCCAAUGAGAUGAAAAUUAGCCAAGGAGACUUAACGUGACCAUGCCACAUACCCCUCACUACCAGCUCUAUUUUUAAGUUUAAAGGUUUAAAAUAUUUCUGUUUUUUAUCUAGCAGCAUCUUAUGAUAACAGACAGAUAUUCUCUGAAAGAGAGACCAGAAUAUAACCGUUGUCUCCUCCUUCCUUUCCUCUGUGCAGGUGAGUGCCUCAAACAGUCAACCCUAGAAUCGUGUCCCUUCUUGCUUACUCCCAUCUGUCUCAAUUUCCUUCCUGUAAGUUCUACUCAGUACUUAAAAAAAAACAACUCAUAAGCACCAACACAGAGGACAGAACAUCACUGACAGCUUGAAAAGAUGAAAGGUCCAUCCUUCCAGCUUUAUCAGAAUCCAGAAUUGUAAACUUUUCCUCCAGAGGGUUAAAGGGACUAUGUUUGUUUUGUCUUGCACAGGUUUUCCUACAUAUGAAGAUACUUUUCCCUCUUAGUGGGUGUUUAAAACCAGGACAACAGGGAAAGCAGCCCAACUGCUAUUUUCUGCCCUAGCAUUUGCAUUGGGUUUCCAGUAUUUGCACAGGGCAUGUUUAGACAUGUCCAGGUUUUAUUUAUUUAUUUUCGUAAAAAGGGCUUUCCCAGCUCAUUUGGAGCAACAGCAUUCAGAUGUUUCAUCAGUUCCGACCUGGGUGGGAAAACAGGUCACUACCUAAACUCUGGGCAGGCCUUUUUAUGGCUGGGUUAGAUAGAUCUCAUUAGCAUCGUGGAUAUGAUUGAUAAAAAAAGUAUUUAAUACUUUUCUACCAACUGUGCUGCUAGAGGCAUGAAGAUGAUUCAGUUUGGAAUACAUGAGUGCAAGUUUCAUAAUGAAGUAACAUCCAGCAAUAAAUGAUCAGUUUUUAAGGACAGGUGAUGG
ensembl:lncRNA